GUAAAAAUGCGUUUUAGCAAGUUUUAUUUUAUCCAUUUGAAAUUUAUUUGUACGAACACAAAACAGCGUUAAAGAAUAUCAACGCCUUUUUUCCCCCACACAGGCCCCCUAACACGACACCACGAGCAAAUAUAUAUCCGCCGUGACCUUGGCUAACCGACCCACAGUUUGUGCACCGCUGGUCUAAAGAAGAACACGCUAGCCGAGCGUCAACGACAGUCAUUAUUCGGCAGUUUGGCAGAGUGCAGUAGUCAUCGCGCGGGUCGCCGCCCUCUCCGUUGAAAAUGACUUCUGGCGACGGGAAUGUGUUUGGUGUAAAUCCAGAGUGACUCAUAAUGAUUUCACGACCCAAAAGAUACCCCCCGAGACCCACAGCUUACGCCCCGCCGAUGUAACUCACCAAGUAGUUUUCAUAAAGUCGAUAGAUUGUAUCCUCGCAGACAUACGGGGGGGACCGGCAUUGCCUGUUGAGAUGAGGCGCUGUCUAAGCCGUGCCUGUAAGUGACCCCAUCAGAGUGCAAUUUAUUUUCUAUUCAGGCCCAUUAUUUAGGGCCUGUCCUUUCGGCCGAAGGCAUAACGACAGGCCCUGCAGCAGCGGAUGCUGUGUGGGGAUAGCCUGUUCCAAAAAAAUCAAACUGGAAUCAACAGCUUUGUGGGGGCGGCCUUUCAUUACAGGCGCUUUGUGUGAAGGGGUUUGCCGAGAUUGAGCGCCCAUUACAUCAAUUGGGAGAGAAGGGGAGGCGUUUUCAGUUGGGAUGUGAACAAUUUGUUGAUCCGUCGGUCGCGAGCACGCAUGUCGAAUGUUAAAUUUAAUUGUAGGAAACUGUUUUUUUUUUCCUUUCUUUUUUAAAUUCUCAAGCCGUUCAAAACAAAAGACCAUCAAUGUUACCCUAGACUUCUGCUCUAAAUCGGUAACACAGAGGCGGGUGGGCGGGGCUUGUUGUGAUUCACUUUAACAGUACUUGGCCUCAGCUGAAAAGAUGGCCAGGUUGCAUGAGUGCCGCGGGUGGGAAAGCUCAAUGAAAACACGGAUCUGUGCAAAAACAUGUGCUGCCAAAUUCGCAUCCCACACGUCGCCAUCUACGAUGUUAAACCGCCUAAGAACCAAAUAUCCUACUAAUCAACGACUAGACUCUUUGCUAAGGACCUUGCUUAGUAGAAUCAGACUGCUGUCUCUGGACGAUGGGGAGCUAAGGAAAAUAUACUGAAAAGGCAACUUCUGUUAGUCUGCCGGCGAUUGUUUUCUCUUAGCCGCUGGCGAGCACACAUUCAUGGCAAACUCUUCCACUGGGAGUGCCGCCGCGACACAAUGAUGUCCGUUAACCAGCUCUGGAAAGCCAGAAAACAACGGGGUCUGGUGUGCCCGCAAUGGAUUCUGGGCCAUUUGAGUACACCCCUCCCCAUUCGUAAACUUAAAAUGCUUCAUACCCUACUGUAGACAAGAUAUUGGUGAAGAUAUAAAUGUAAAAAAUCUCGUUGCUCAAACUAGGUUUAUGGUCUAUCCAUGUCAGAUAACAUUUUAGCUGGUCUCGAUGUCGGCAUAACUUCGACUGAUCGGAAAAUCAAUAGUGAUAGAAUAGUAAGCGCCGAUUUUUUGGUGCCAUUUUCUUAAGAAAUGGCUGUACAGAAGUUGUUCCCGAGGAUUCUGGCGGCUGUAACAUUUUUAGGAUACCUAACAUUUCACAAUCAGUUUUUCUUGUAACAAAAUGUGUAAUAAUGUCUUCCGUGUGAUUAGACUUUUUAUGCCCCCAUUGAUUUCAGUUCAGCUUUAAAUGCAGGCAUAAAUGCUCGUGAACUGUCAAAUUAGCAUAAUCAUUUUCUGACGUCUGAAGUAAAAAAAAAAAUUAAAAAAAAAGCAACAUUGUCGAACUGCCAGUGUACUUUCGAAAAGUACACUUUCGAAACUGUACUUUUUUGGGCACUCUAGUUAUAGUUCACAUUUUUGUUGUUUAUUAAUAUGAAACAUUAAUAAAGAUUUUUUUUUCUUUCUUAUUGUGCACUGUUAAAAGAAAGUGUAUUGAAACUCCACAACUGGUAUAUU